AGCUCCAAUAGCGUAUAUUAAAGUUGUUGCGGUUAAAAAGCUCGUAGUUGGAUUUCUGCCAAGGACUGCUGUUCCCCGAUUAGGGUGAUACGGUUUGGCCGAGGCAUCCUUUUGAAUUACGUGGCUGCACUUAAUUGAGUGGCUCGGAUUUCAAAACUUUUACUUUGAGGAAAUUAGAGUGUUUCAAGCAGGCUUCUGCCUUGAAUACAUUAGCAUGGAAUAAUAAGAUAGGACUUCGGUUCUAUUUUGUUGGUUUCUAGAACUGAAGUAAUGAUUAAUAGGGACAGUCGGGGGCAUUCGUACUUAACUGUCAGAGGUGAAAUUCUUGGAUUUGUUAAAGACGAACUACUGCGAAAGCAUUUGCCAAGGAUGUUUUCAUUG
rnacentral:rRNA from 1 species